rnacentral:rRNA from 1 species
UGCAAGUCGAGCGGCAGCGACAACAUUGAACCUUCGGGGGAUUUGUUGGGCGGCGAGCGGCGGACGGGUGAGUAAUGCCUGGGAAAUUGCCCUGAUGUGGGGGAUAACCAUUGGAAACGAUGGCUAAUACCGCAUGAUAGCUUCGGCUCAAAGAGGGGGACCUUCGGGCCUCUCGCGUCAGGAUAUGCCCAGGUGGGAUUAGCUAGUUGGUGAGGUAAGGGCUCACCAAGGCGACGAUCCCUAGCUGGUCUGAGAGGAUGAUCAGCCACACUGGAACUGAGACACGGUCCAGACUCCUACGGGAGGCAGCAGUGGGGAAUAUUGCACAAUGGGCGCAAGCCUGAUGCAGCCAUGCCGCGUGUAUGAAGAAGGCCUUCGGGUUGUAAAGUACUUUCAGCAGUGAGGAAGGAGGUAUCGUUAAUAGCGGUAUCUUUUGACGUUAGCUGCAGAAGAAGCACCGGCUAACUCCGUGCCAGCAGCCGCGGUAAUACGGAGGGUGCGAGCGUUAAUCGGAAUUACUGGGCGUAAAGCGCAUGCAGGUGGUUUGUUAAGUCAGAUGUGAAAGCCCGGGGCUCAACCUCGGAAUUGCAUUUGAAACUGGCAGGCUAGAGUACUGUAGAGGGGGGUAGAAUUUCAGGUGUAGCGGUGAAAUGCGUAGAGAUCUGAAGGAAUACCGGUGGCGAAGGCGGCCCCCUGGACAGAUACUGACACUCAGAUGCGAAAGCGUGGGGAGCAAACA